CAGGAUGCGCAGCGCCGGCCGGCGGCUCCGCGCCUGAGCGCGCUCCCGACACGCCCGGGCAGGUGGUGGAUGUGGACUUUAAAACCGUGUGUCUCAACAUUUCAUCCUCAACUAUCUCUUUUUAAUCUGAUUGCACUACAAAAGAAAAGCUGCUAAUGGGAUAAAUGUUGAGACGUUGCAAGAACUGACUUGAAGUACCCAAAGCCAUUACUCUAACUCAAGAGGAGCUCCAAGCCAAGCCUGCGUCCGACUCGUCAGUCCCGUUUCCAGACAACAGGCAUGGCAAGUAAACGCAAGUCAACCACCCCUUGCAUGGUCCUGGCCAACGAGCAGGAUCCGGACCUGGAAGCGGGGCCAGGUUUGGAGGGAGCAGCCCCUGCGCCGGCGCCGGCCGAGAAGGCCCCGGCCGAGAGCGCGGCCAGCGACGAGGACGUCCCCGAGAGYGGGGAUCCGGACAAUCAGAAGAGUUUGAAAGUGGAAGGAGGCUAUGAAUGUAAAUACUGUACUUUCCAAACUCCGGAUCUCAAUAUGUUUACUUUUCACGUGGAUUCGGAACACCCCAACGUAGUAUUAAAUUCAUCCUACGUUUGUGUGGAGUGCAAUUUUCUUACCAAAAGAUACGAUGCGCUCUCAGAGCAUAAUCUCAAGUACCACCCUGGCGAGGAGAAUUUUAAGUUGACCAUGGUGAAACGGAACAACCAGACCAUCUUUGAGCAAACAGUAAAUGAUCUCACCUUCGAUGGGAGUUUUGUUAGAGAGGAGAACGCCGAACAGGCUGACCCUUCUGAGGUGCCCUCCUCGGGGAUCUCCAUCAGCAAAACGCCUAUUAUGAAAAUGAUGAAAACCAAGACGGAGGCGAAGCGCAUCGCUGUUUUCCACGGCGUAGCCGAUGACGUUCCCGGUGAAGAGAAGGGAGCUGAGGAGGAGCCGAACGGCGACGAAGCCGCGGAAAAGCCGGCGCCGGCGCUCGCCGAGUCGCAGGGGAGCCGCUCGGCCGCCGGCGGCGCCGCCGAGGUGGCUCGUGCCGUGGUGACCCCGGCCGCAGUGGUGCCGCCCGGCGUGGCCCAGGUCCUGACGGCCGUCACAGCGCCGCAGAAUCCCGGCCUCAUUCCCAAAGUCUUAAUACCUGUAAACAGCAUUCCAGCCUAUAAUACCGCUUUGGAUAACAAUCCUCUUUUGCUGAACACCUACAACAAAUUCCCUUACCCAACCAUGUCAGAAAUCACUGUUCUUUCCACCCAAGCCAAGUACACAGAGGAGCAGAUUAAGAUCUGGUUUUCUGCCCAGCGCCUGAAGCACGGCGUGAGCUGGACGCCCGAGGAGGUGGAGGAAGCCAGGAGGAAGCAGUUCAACGGCACCGUGCACACCGUGCCCCAGACCAUUACCGUGAUCCCCGCGCACAUUUCGGCCAGCAACGGGCUGCCCUCCAUCCUGCAGACGUGCCAGAUAGUUGGUCAGCCGGGACUUGUUCUCACCCAGGUGGCGGGCGCCAACGCGCUGCCCGUAACGGCCCCCAUCGCCCUCACCGUGGCGGGAGUCCCGAGUCAGACGCAGCUGCAGAAGAGCCAGGCUCACGCCGCUCAGCCCAGCGCGGACACCAAGCAAGUGGCCGCCGUGCCGGCCCCCCAGCCUAUCAAAAACGAAGCCCCGCUGCUGAACCCCGACUCCUUCAGCAGCCGAGCCAAAAAAACCAAGGAGCAGCUGGCGGAGUUGAAGGUCAGCUACCUGCAAAACCACUUCCCUCAGGAUUCAGAAAUCGUUCGGCUUAUGAAAAUCACAGGCCUGACGAAAGGCGAGAUCAAGAAGUGGUUCAGCGAUACGCGCUACAACCAGAGAAACUCCAAGAAUAACCACGGGCUUCACCUCRGCAGCGAUUCCUGUGCCCCCAUUGUGAUCGACUCCAGCGAUGAAAUGACCGAGUCCCCGACGGGGGUCACGGCGCAGGGCAAGGCUUCCUGGAGCGCCUUCCCCGACGUCACCCCACAGAAAUUCAAGGAGAAGACGGCCGAACAGCUGCAGGUCCUCCAGGCAAGUUUUCUUAGUAACCCUGUGCUAACAGACGAGGAAAUGAAUAGGUUAAGAGCCCAAACCAAACUGACCAGGAGAGAGAUUGAUGCUUGGUUUACAGAAAGAAGGAAAUCUGAGGUCCCGAAGGAAGAGGGAGCUGACUUGAAUGAUAGCAAUGCCAGCAGCUCAAAAGAGGAGGCUGGGGAAACAUCUGCAGGAGAUGGAGCAGGGCCCAAAUCAGGGGGUUCCUCCGCUAGCAAAGUCGUCAAAAAAUCACCGGAGCAGCUGCACCUGCUGAAAAGUUCCUUUGUCCGCACUCAGUGGCCGUCUCCCCAGGAAUACAACAAGCUGGCAGAAGAAACGGGGCUCCCGAGGUCGGAAAUCGUGAGCUGGUUUGGAGACACUCGCUAUGCCUGGAAGAACGGCGGGUUGAAGUGGUAUUACUACUACCAGAGCGCCAACGCAAACAGCCUGAACGGGCAAGGCCUCGUGAGGAAGAGAGGGAGAGGAAGGCCCAAAGGGAGGGGGAGAGGAAGGCCUCGGGGAAGGCCUCGGGGAAGCAAGAGGUUAAACAGCUGGGACAGAGGAGUGUCUGUCAUAAAGUUCAAAACUGGAGCCGCAAUCCUGAAGGACUAUUACAUGAAGCACAAAUUCCUCAACGAGCAGGACCUUGAUGAACUUGUAGCCAAAUCUCACAUGGGAUACGAGCAGGUCAGAGAGUGGUUUGCAGAGAGACAGAGAAGAUUAGAGCUUGGAAUAGAGCUCUUUGAGGAGAACGAGGAGGAGGAUGAAACGCUGGAAGAACAGGAGGAGGAGGAAGAGACGGAUGACAGCGACACGUGGGAACCUCCCCGGCACGUUAAGCGCAAACUCUCAAAAUCGGAUUGAUGUGCAAUUUGGGGGCCAAACACCCAUGGAUUGGGGUUGACGUURUGAUGAAAAGCCAAACAGUUGGUGGUGACCUUCUGUUUUAGCAGGCACUCGCUUAGUAUCUUCCUUGAGCCUAAGAGAGCAUGGCCAAGGCGCAGCCCAGGCCGGCCACCGGGAGGGCCUUCCUUGCUCCCAGAGAUGGACGUGCUCAGGCCAAGCCUAGGACACGGAGGUGCAAAUCAGCUCCAGAAGUUCCUCUUCUGCGUUCCUGAUGGGAAGGUUCAUCACUCACAUGACUGCUUCUCAGUAUUUAAUUGCCUUAUGUUGUUUAAUUCCAAAAAAACAAAAAACAGAGACACGUUUUUCCGCUGUUGUUGGAGGACAUUGCCCGCUCACCAAGGAGGGAAAUACAAAAACCUAAGAUGUCUUUUUGCAAACGUCACUUCGCCUGAAAGGUUUCAAGGCYUGGGGUUUUUUCUUGAGGAAAGAAUUGAAAAGAAAAGAGAAGGGGAGAAAAGUGUGACAAAGGAAUCAAUGAACCUAGGGGUGAGGAUUGCUUGGUUUGAGAAAAUGAGGCCAYGUUGGUACCUCUCGUGUAUCUUCAAAGUGUUUGGGGUUUACAGAACUUGUGCUGAAAUGUUUCCUGUUGGCAAUUCUGAGCUAACUGCAUGAGUUGAAAAGCAGAAGAUACUUUUCGUUAAACCUAAUCAGUGUGUCCUACAUCAGCUCAGUUUAAAUACCUGACAGGUUUGAUGUAGUUGAUAGCAAGAUUUCUUUGUAGCUUGUGCAUCCAUUCCUUUGUUGGAAAAUGUGAGGAAAAGCGUAUUUUUAGCCAAAAAAUAUACCUAUCAUGAAAGUUCCCCUAAAGAGUCUGCUAGAGCGAGAGAAGAGCUCAAGUUGCCACGACUCCGUCUGUGAUACGAAAAGAGGAACCACAAGAGCUUCAUUUUGGUUUUGAAACGUUCCUCCCCCUUCAGUUCCAGCUUACGAAAGUGUUCUCGGUUUUGCUCGGUUGAUUUUCUGCAUGUGCACUUAUAGUUUGUAUGGAAAUGCACUAAAAUGAGUUACCCUACCUGGGAAGGCUUUAUAUUGUAUAGAAAAUGUGGCACUAGGUACUGCUCUUCACGUGCACAGGAGAGUUAACAGGUGUCAGUCUCGUUUACAGAAAUGAUGGAGCUUUGCAAUUCCUAUAAUAUAUUGCAAUAUAUUUAAAUGUCCUGUUUGACAUGUGAAAUGAAAUUAAGUUAAUGCGUUGUAAUGUAUUUGAAGUACGAGGAAGACGAUUCACUAACGACCAGCAAGGUUUCGAGGAGGUGUCCAGUAUGUAGCAAUCUGUGUGAUCUGUCUGGUGUAUCCGAUGUUAAAGGGAGCGACAAAACUGUUACCGUUCAGAUGAAGAGUUUCUCUCGACUGAUGCAAUAGCUUUCGGUGUCUUUCCUUCGUAGCUGCCCGGAGGGGCGAAGGGGAAGCGAUCCUUGAAAAGAGAUAAACUGGUUAACUGUGAAUGGGCCGAAUCUCUCGUGAAGCCAAGAACAUUUUUGGACACACACACACAGGACUUGAAUACUCAAAAGGAUUGGAGCUUAGUGUUGUGCCAAAGUUAAACUACUGCAGUCGGCAGAAGUUCUGCACUGUAAAUACAAGACUGAUUAAAAGACAGCUUGUAAAAAAAAAAAAGAAAAAGACAAAAAAAAAGGACAAAUUUUAAUACAGUACGUUUUUAUUCUGAUACAUGAUGGAAACAUUCUGUUUUAGACCUUUUUUGAAGAGGCUUCAGUGACCACUAGAUUUUGUCCUCCUAUAUUUUGUUUGGCCUAUUACUAUAUGUUCUAGUAAGAUGGGCUUUAUUGCCUGUGUUCUUUGAUAUGUGAUUAAGCUUAUAGCUUUGAGUGACCAAACAUUUUACAGAGUAAAAGUUCUUAGAAACAGUAUAACGUAACUGAUAUUUCUGUGUCUUAUUUAUCAGGCUCUGCACAAACCUGGAAGGUUGUGCUGGACUUGGACAACUCAUAUAUGGGAACGCAGCAUAUUCCUUAACAGUACAGCCCUAAGCCUUCGUGGCAGUAAGGAUCUUGUCUUUGGAUUUAUUUUUAUUAUUAUUAUUAUUUUUGAGGCAAAGAAAUGAAUGCUGCUGUAAAAUAUUUGUAAUAUUGCCAUUAUUGCUUUCUGUAGCAAUUACUGCU